rnacentral:lncRNA from 1 species
GAGUAUCUUCUUGUUCCUUCUGAUCUCUGCUCCCUGCUGUCACUGGUUCUGCUUUUUAUUCUUCAUCCCCAAUUGCUUGGCCUCAUUCCAUUUUCUUUGUCCACAUAAUUCCAGCCUUAACCUUGCUCUUUGUCACUGUCUCCACUGUCUGUGCCAUCCCAGUACUUCUCUUUGUGGGUGCUGACAGGGCUUAAUAAUAAAGUAGCCAGGUGCGGUGGCUCAUGCCUGUAAUCCCAGCACUUUCGGAGGUCGAGGUGGGUGGAUCACUUGAGGUCAGGAGUUCGAGACCAGGCCAGUCAACAUGGUGAAACCCUGUCUCUACUAAAAAUUCAAAAAUUAGCCAGGCGUGGUUGUGCAUGCCUGUAAUCCCAACUACUGAGGAGGUUGAAGCAUGAGAAUUGCUUGAACCCAGGAGGCGGAGGUUGCAGUGAGCAGAAAUCAUGCCACUGCACUUAUGCCUGGGUGACAGAGCAAGACUGUCUUGCUCCAUUUAAAAAAUAAAUAAAAAACAAAAAUUAUAACGUUUGCCAGCCUAUGACUGUGCUAUCUUUUGCUCUGCUAACUGAUUCACCCAUUUUAUUAUUCAAUUGCUGUAUUCUUGUCUCGUCUCAUCUCCUUUUACUUCUGUAUGUGCCAUUGUUCUGAUUAGUUAAGAGGUGCUGAACAGGUAACUAAUUAUGGCAGUGUGAGCCACAGGAUAAUUCUCAAGUGAUCUCUGCUGUAGCACCUCUCCACAUAGGGCAUCAUGGGCAAGGUUAAGAUGGAAUUCUAACCUCGCAUAUCUGAGGACCUGACUCAGUUCUUAUUCUCUAUCCCUGUGCUCACAGAAAAUGCCAAUCGUAAGCUAUUUGGGUGGGGUUCGUUGGAGAGACAUGGAAAAGUACCCUGGGCAGCUGAAGUGUCUGUUGAAUCUUACCCACAUUUGAACAAAUUCACUCUAACUUGACUUGGUUCCCCUUUAAAAUGAGAGAAAACAAGGACUUAGACUGCCAAUUGCCCCCUGAAAUUACUGUUGGGUGCGCUAAAGAGCUCCACGGAAUGACAGUUACUUUUUAUUAUCAAGAGUUUACUUGUAAUUGUAAAGUAUAGAGAAUAUACAUAAAUGCCAAUGAAUGAAGUAUGGAAACACUAAUACAUUUAAAAAUCCAACAGGCUCCUCAAACAACGGGGCCCAAGACAGAAACUGCUCAGAGAAAGAUUUUCAAAUAGAUCUUUUUCUAGUGACUCAGAUAUUUGAGAAAAAUUGGCAUAAAGUAGAACCUGGAAUCUUCUGUUUGCUUAUUUUUCUGGCUAUUAUAUCCUCCCUAAAAAUAAACAAAUAAAUAAAGCAGGGGUCAGAGCAGGUACAGUACUUUUUGGAUACUAAGUUCGGAUAAGGCUUUUGCUUGUUUCCAUAGCGCUCCCUAUCCCUACUUUCUGUAUCCUUGGAAAGAAAUGUGGAAUAAUGAAAACAGCAAAAGGCUUGGAAGCCAGGUAGACCCAGGUGUGAUCUCAGCCCCACCCUUCAUUCUCUGGGUGGCCUUGGGCGGGUCAAACUCUGUAAGCCAAAGGGUCACUAAAGCACCCUUCCUGGAAUUCCUUUGAGGUGUCAAUGAGGGAGCACACAGUGAGUGGCGGUUCCCUUCCUAUCCCCUGCUCUGGGCCAGGGACCAGGACCUGAUGUCAGGGUCUUUACCCAGCACUGUACCUACACUUGCUCUCCAAAAUGGGACUAGGGUGAAAUUUCUUGACAGUCUGAAAAUAAUGGCCCAGGGAACGAAGCAAAUGCCAAGAGCUGAGCCUUAGGGAAUGACUAGUAGGCCCAGAUUCUUGGGAUGACUUCCUUCAAAGACUUCAUUUGUUAACACCUUCCUUCCCUUCUUGUUAGUUUCAGUGGGAAGUAGGAUUGGGGUGAUUUGGAGAAGCAGUGGGGAAUUUAGUUAGGGGAGACUCCUGGGUACCUGUGGGGACAUAAAGAGGGAUCGGUGUGGGAUGGCAGGUGGAGGCCACGAGAGGCGGGCAUAAAUGCUACAUGAAGGAGUUUGUUGUGGUUUGGUGGAAGAGGAGGAGGCAUGCAUGUGAGGAGGGGUGGCCGUGAGCCUGGAGCUGUCCUACAGGGUAGUUUCUCUCACUCUGCUGUGUGUGUAUGUGGCGGGCAGCUUUGACCCCCCCUGCUCUUAAGUGUUUCUGAAUGCUAGGAGUGGGAACAAACCUGCAAGGCUGAUUGGAUGUCUAGAAACACAUAUGUAAAGAGAAGUGUAUACAUGAAAACCAAAAAUCCCUGGGGCUUUGAAUCCUCCUAGAGCUCCUGGCUACCUUCUUCAGGACUGCAACUGACUGUGAAGUGCUUGACUUUGUCCUUCUUGCAGGUGAUCUGGGCUAAGUAGUGAGAUCCAGCUGGCCAGGAAGGAAGGCAUGCAUCUCCCCAGGCCUGUGGCUCUCCUUGUACUGACCUUGCUGCUUCCUGGGCUAAGCAGUUGCAGUGAGGGUCUGUUGCCCUGAAGCAGUUACGUCAUUUAUUAAUCCAAAUUCUGAAAGACAAUAUGGUGCUGAAAUACUUUUUUUUUAAAAGUCAUAGUUCCAUUGUCUUAGUCAAAGCAGGAUUAUUACAUGAUUAUUUUCAAUCAAAUAUAUUUGUUUUAGACAGAGGGUCUUGCUCUGUCACCCAGGCUGGAGUGCAGAGGCAUGAUUAUAGCUCACUGCAGUCUCCAACUCCUGGGCUCAAGUUAUCCUCCUCCCUCAGCCUCCUGAGUAGCUGGGACUACAGACACCUGCCACCAUACCCAGCUAACUGUCUUUUCAGUGUUUUUAGGGACAGGGUCUCACUAUGAUGUCCAGACUGGUCUUGAACUCCUGGCCUCAAAUGAUCCUCCCACCUCAGCCCUAAACUCAUUUUUUUAAAUUAGCAAUUUCAGGUAUAACAAAUUUGGAAUAAAAUGAAUAGUGAUAAAACCCCCAAUAUUCUAGAUUGUGAGAUUUUCCUCCUGUUGUAAUUGGACCACAUUUAAGGACUAAAUUGGAAGGAAGGAGCAAGAGGAGUCCUUGACAAAACUGCAGUUAAGCUCUCUUUGAAGAAAUCACACAGUAUGGCUCUGUCUGAACAUGCUCUGUGUCUACCCUUUUUCAAAGGCAAGAUGGCCACGUUGAGACCAGUCAGACCAUGAAUAAUGGCCUAAGCCCUAUGCCACCAGGAUGGAGAGGUCUGAGCAGUACAGUGAACAGGCUUCGUCAGCAAAGGCUGAUUCAACGCACCUCUCUCUGGAUUCAAUGGCAUUCUUUCUGGAGGUUAGCCCAUUUCUGUAAGUCAGCUCCAUCCAAGUUUGAUUGUCCUUCUUCGAAUCUCUUCCAACAGCUUGAUGUCCUUGCGGUUGAAUAGCUGAAAACUUCACAUAGCACAGCAUUCCACACAAAACACCUUUAGAAAUUUCUAGUUGAGAAGAACUUGGGCAAAGUCAAAUCUCUCCAUUUGAUUUUGUUUGUGUUCCUCUCUUGGAUUUGUCUUGGGCAUGUUACUGUCCAAAUAACUGCUAUCAUCAUCAUUGACAUGCGAAAAUGACAUGCGCAUCCAUGUGAAGAGACCACCAAACAGGCUUUGUGUGAGCAAUAAAGCUUUUUAACCACCUGGGUGCAGGCAGUCAGCGAAGGGAGAUAAGGGUGGGGCUGUUUUAUAGGAUUUGGGUAGGUAAAGGAAAAUUACAGUCAAAGGGGGGUUGUUCUCUGGCGGGCAGGAGCAGGGGUCACAAGGUGCUCAGUGUGGGAGCUUUUUGAGCCAGGAUGAGCCAGGAAAACGAAUUUCACAAGAUAAUGUCAUCGCUUAAGGCAAGGACCGAGGCCUGACAAUUAUCAUCAUCAACAACAGUUUUAAGAAUUAUAAUAGCAGUAAAAUUGACUUAUCAUUUUUGAGACUGGAAGUUUUGUUACCUGAUAUGGUUUGACCCUGUGUCCCCACCCAAAUCACUUGUCAAAUUGUAAUCCCAGUGUUGGAGGAGGAGCCUGGUGGGAGGUGACUGGAUCAUGGGGGCGGACUUCCCCUUUGCUGUUCUCAUGAUAAUGAGUGAGUUCUCAUGAGAUCUGGCUUUUUGAAAUGUGCAGCACCUCCUCCUGCUCUCUCUUCCUCCUGCUCCUGCCAUGUGAGACGUGCUGGCCUUCUGCCAUGAUUGUAAAUUUCUUGAGGCUUCCCCAGCCAUGCCUCCUGUACAGCCUGUGGAACUGUGAGUCAAUCAAACCUCUUUUCUUUAUAAAUUACCCAGUCUUGGGUAGUUCUUUAUAGCAGCGUGAGAACAGACUAAUACAUUGCCCAAAACGAAUUCUGGAAACAAAUCAGCUCAUUAAAAAGUGCAAGCACAGCCUCAUACUAAGCCACCUGUUCACUGUGUUGCUGGGUUUUUUUUUUUUUCAAUUUAUUUUUAUGAGCCAGCAUUCUUUUGUGGAUAUCAAUUGAUACUGGACAAUCAGGCCUUGUGGUCCCUCCUCUGGACUGGCCCCCUACAGACUUCCACACUCUGUGACACUCAGUGGCCACAGGCCACUGGAAAAUUGGAUGUGUGACUGAGUCUUUAAGAGGCGGAGUGACUUACUUUAAUUCAGUAAGUCAGUAUGUUUUAAAUGCAGAUUUUUCUACAACAGGAAAAAGCUGUUAAAUUUCUUGUCUCAGCUCUGUCUACCACUACUUUGGAGGGGCUACAGGUAUCAGUGAGAGAAACCAAAGUCAGAUAAUUCAAACUGGGGCAUAAAAUGUUCUGCUUGAGUGUCAAGAAUGGUUCUUUGGGUGUGGUGAAGGGUUCAUGACUACAUUUAAUUUUCAAAAUGUCUUUCUUAAAAAUAUGCCAAAAAGAUACCUAGAAAAACACGUGUCACUGAUUGAAAUAUGUAAUGCAUUUAAAUAUACAUACAUACAUAUACACACACACACAUAUAUGUUUUCAUAAUCACGCUAAUAUCUGCCCUGCUCAUACUGAUGAUGGUCAAAUAUUUUGGGAGAGAACAUCUGGCAGCCUCCGUCUACUCAUCUUUUCCUCUACAAAACUCUUCCAAUACCCUGUUCUAGCUAUGAUUAACCUUCCAAACUUAUCAAACAGUCAGGUUCUGUCUCCACUCCACACAUUGCUCAAAUUGCUUCCACUGCCUCAAAUAUCCCACUCU